UGGUGCUUGCAUCAUGAUUUACAUUUGAGUGAGUGGCGAACUGGUGAGUAACACGUGGGAAACCUGCCCAGAAGCGGGGGAUAACACCUGGAAACAGAUGCUAAUACCGCAUAACAACUUGGACCGCAUGGUCCGAGUUUGAAAGAUGGCUUCGGCUAUCACUUUUGGAUGGUCCCGCGGCGUAUUAGCUAGAUGGUGAGGUAACGGCUCACCAUGGCAAUGAUACGUAGCCGACCUGAGAGGGUAAUCGGCCACAUUGGGACUGAGACACGGCCCAAACUCCUACGGGAGGCAGCAGUAGGGAAUCUUCCACAAUGGACGAAAGUCUGAUGGAGCAACGCCGCGUGAGUGAAGAAGGGUUUCGGCUCGUAAAACUCUGUUGUUAAAGAAGAACAUAUCUGAGAGUAACUGUUCAGGUAUUGACGGUAUUUAACCAGAAAGCCACGGCUAACUACGUGCCAGCAGCCGCGGUAAUACGUAGGUGGCAAGCGUUGUCCGGAUUUAUUGGGCGUAAAGCGAGCGCAGGCGGUUUUUUAAGUCUGAUGUGAAAGCCUUCGGCUCAACCGAAGAAGUGCAUCGGAAACUGGGAAACUUGAGUGCAGAAGAGGACAGUGGAACUCCAUGUGUAGCGGUGAAAUGCGUAGAUAUAUGGAAGAACACCAGUGGCGAAGGCGGCUGUCUGGUCUGUAACUGACGCUGAGGCUCGAAAGUGUGGGUAGCAACAGGAUUAGAUACCCUGGUAGCCAUACCGUAACGAUGAUGCUAGUGUUGGAGGUUUCCCCCUUCGUGCUGAGCUACGCAUAAGCAUCCGCCGGGGAGUACGCCGCAAGCUGAACUCAAGGAUUGACGG
rnacentral:rRNA from 1 species